GGGAGCAGCCGGGCAGUCGCCCUUUAAUGGGAGGAAAGUCCGGGCUCCAGCAGACAUGGUGGCUCCUAACAGGAGCAGGUCGCAAGACCUGGAAAGUGCCACAGAAAUAAUACCGCUUCAGCAAAAACUGAAGCAAGGGUGAAAUGGUGAGGUAAGAGCUCACCGCAUCAGCAGCAAUGCUGGUGGCAAAGGCAAACCCCACCAGGAGAAAAACCAAGCAGGGUCUGGUGCCUGCCCACAUAGACCCGGGUAGGUUGAUUGAGUCAGGAAGUGAUUCCUGACCCAGAUGAAUGACUGCCUUAAAACAGAACCCGGCUUACCAGCUGCUCCCGUAA
rnacentral:RNase_P_RNA from 1 species